ACCCGCACAAGCGGUGGAUGAUGUGGUUUAAUUCGAUGCAACGCGAAAACCUUACCCACCUUUGACAUGGCAGGAAUCCCGAAGAGAUUGGGAGUGCUCGAAAGAGAACCUGCACACAGGUGCUGCAUGGCUGUCGUCAGCUCGUGUCGUGAGAUGUUGGGUUAAGUCCCGCAACGAGCGCAACCCUUGCCAUUAGUUGCUACGAAAGGGCACUCUAAUGGGACUGCCGGUGACAAACCGGAGGAAGGUGGGGAUGACGUCAAGUCCUCAUGGCCCUUAUAGGUGGGGCUACACACGUCAUACAAUGGCCGGUACAGAGGGUAGCCAACCCGCGAGGGGGAGCCAAUCCCACAAAGCCGGUCGUAGUCCGGAUCGCAGUCUGCAACUCGACUGCGUGAAGUCGGAAUCGCUAGUAAUCGCGGAUCAGAAUGUCGCGGUGAAUACGUUCUCGAGUCUU
rnacentral:rRNA from 1 species